rnacentral:piRNA from 1 species
UNGUUGGGGCUUAGCUAAUUAUCGAGUAUAU